rnacentral:lncRNA from 1 species
UAUUUUUUAUGCCCCACCUACGAUAGUAGAGGGGCAUUAUGUUUUCUGGUCUGUGCGUCCGUUCGUCCGUUCGUUCGUCCGUUCGUUCGUCCGUUCGUUCGUCCGUCUGUCCCGCUUCAGGUUAAAGUUUUUGGUCGAGGUAGUUUUUGAUGAAGUUGAAGUCCAAUCAACUUGAAACUUAGUAUACAUGUGCCCUAUGAUAUGAUCUUUCUAAUUUAAAUGCCAAAUUAGAGUUUUGACCCCAAUUUUACGGUUCACUGAACAUAGAAAAUGAUAGUGCAAAUUUCAGGUUAAAGUUUUUGGCUUCAGGUUAAAGUUUUUGGUCAAGGUAGUUUUUGAUGAAGUUGAAGUCCAAUCAACUUGAAACUUAGUAUACAUGUGCCCUAUGAUAUGAUCUUUCUAAUUUAAAUGCAAAUUAGAGUUUUGACCCC